CCUUUCGGGGUUGUUGGCUUGUUUGUGUUGGGAGCGUAUCGGUAGUAGGUUAGCGUGGGAGUGACGCGGGUAGGUAGCCGGCUGCGGAGGUGGUUUUCCGUGGCUAAGCGUGUGGGCUGUCCUCUAGGUAAAUCCGGGGGAUGUUAAAGCUGAGGCGUGAUGGGUAGGCUGUAAGGCUGAUUCCGGUGAUCCUGCUUGCCAAGAAAAGCUUCAACGUGAGGUGUGAUUCCGCUCGUACCCUAAACCGACACUGGUGGUCUGGUAGAGUAUACCGAAGCGAUCGGGCGAAUCCUGGCCAAGGAACUCGGCAAAUUACUCCCGUGCCUUCGGCAUAAGGGAGACCCCUGAUGGUGAUAUGGUUU
rnacentral:rRNA from 1 species